rfam:Bacillus sp. VT-16-64 NODE_156, whole genome shotgun sequence.
UGACUGCAAUGAUGUGGAAGGUUGCCGAUACACCCGGCCGCUUUGCCAUGGCGAGUGUAUGGGGAAAUUUUCAUGGAGCAAGUCUAUUUUUGAAAAAUAGGCGA